rnacentral:rRNA from 1 species
UUUUAUCACGCAGAAUACGCCAGAGCUCGUCAGAUCUCUGAAGCUCAACAGGGAUGAGCUUGAUUAGUACUUGGAUGGAAUAUUUCAUGGGUAUACCAGGUGUGUGUAAGGU